AUACUUUUUCCACACAAAAUCUUAACAUUCACAGUGUAGGGUGGAAAAAAUAUGUUUCCCAUUGGGUAAAAUAACUUGUUGACCCUCCUUUUGCAGCAAUAAGCUCAACCAAACACUUCCUGUAGUUGCAGAUCAGACCUGCGUAACGGUCAGGAGGGAAUUUGGACCGUUCCUCUUUAAAAAACUGGUUAAAUUCAGCAAUUUUCCUGGGAUGUCUGGCGUAAAUCAAUUUUUUGAGGUCAUGCCACAGUAUCUCAAUCGGGUUAAGCUCAGGACUCUGACUGGGCCACUCCAGAAGGUGUAUUUUCUUUUGUUUAAGUCAUUUUGUCGUUGAUUUACUUUAAUGCUUUGGGUCUUUUUCUGAGAGCUCGUUUGUGCGAGACAUGGAUCACACAAGGCAACACAAAAUGUAAACAUUCACAGUCACAGUUGAUGGUUUAAAAAGUAUGCAAACCUUUGGUUUUUAAUAACGAGUUGACCCUCCUUUGGCAGCAGUGGGCUCAACCAAACAUUUCCUGUAGUUGCAGAUCAGACCUGCAUAGCAGUCAAGAGGGAUUUUGGAUCAUUCCUUGUUACAAAACUGGUUCAACCCAGCUAUAUAUUUAGUGUGAUGUCUGGUGUGAAUCCCUUUCUUGCAGUCAUGGCACAGUAUCUUAAUCAGGUUGAGGUCAGGACUCUGACAGGGCCACUCCCGAAGGUGUAUUUUCAUCUGUUGAAGACAUUCUGUUGUUGAUUUACUUCUAUGCUUUCGGUCAUUGUCCUUUUCUAAGACCUCUUUUGAGUGAGACAUGGAUCACAUCAGGCAAUGCUUCAUGACAAUAGCAAAGUCAAAACUGCUGUGUGUUUCACAUACUCCACCCUGCACUGUGAAUGCUUAUAUGUUGUGUUCAAUGAAAACAUAACACAAUAUGUGUGUGGCAUUAGUUUAAGCAAUGUUUUUCUAUUGUUGUACCUUCGAUGAAGAUCAGAACACAUUUUCUGUCCAAUUUAAGCCGAAAACCAAGUGAUCCCAAAGGGUUGGCAUACUUUUUCCUGCAACUGUAUGGUGAGCACUGGAGCUGGGUUCUGUACUGUGCGUAAGUCAUGUGAAGAAAUGACUCUAGUUUUAGCUGAUGUAUUUAUUUAUUGGAGGAUCGGGGCUUUGUGGAGCUCUUGGCAAAUACUUGCACUGCAAAUCCACUCCAGCGCUGUACUCUGUGCCUUGGUAAAACCCCCAUGAUAAUGCAUGCAUCGACUUCACAGUUAGCUCUGGUUCAUACUCUACGUCAUUAUGGAGUUCACACACACGAAAAACACCCUCAAAACUCAGUCAAAAUAGUUCAAUAAAAUUUAUGGUAAAAAAAAGUAGUGGAGACAUUGUGUGGUAGUGGAGACAUGUCUAAUUUGAUAGUAAACUCCCUUAUCAUUAAUACACCACUACAGUGCUUCACUACUUUAUACAAUAUGAAUACAACAGUGUUUUGAAGUAUUAACAUCUACAUUAUAUCUUUGUAAUUCACAGAAUUAAAGCCCACCAAAAGCAGGCGGCGAUGAGAACGUCACAUGAUGGCCUGAUCAUGAUUAGGCCUGUUUCUAACUUCAGACUGCACUUUUUGGUUUCAUUAAAGGAUUGUGCCUUUACCAAGAUAAAAAAGCAACAACACAUGCAAAACGCCCAGGCUUCAUUUGCAUUCAGAAUCUCAUUCUAGGAAAAUUUUGUCAGCUGGAAAACUCUCACAAAUCCUAAGACCAAGGAAAUUUUACAGACCAAAAAGAAUACAAAAGCAGGGCCUUUUAAGAUUAUUUUGCUUAAAACACAUUUUCUGCUCAACUUGUCCAAAUGUUUUGAUUUUGAUUUUGUUUGUACUUCUUAUUAUAAUAGCAUUAUAACAAUCCAUUGUGGUCAUCAUUAUUAUUUUUCAAAUAUCUCAGAACUAAUAGCGAAAGAUUAAAUGUUAUCUUUAGGUGUCCUUGUUGCGGUGUUAUCAAUGUAUUGAGUAUUAUUAUUGAGCAAUGUAUCCCCAUUAUGGCUAGGGUUAGCAGACAUCUACUUCUUUACCAAUCCCUAAAUUUACAGCUGUAACCAUAUCACUAAACCUCUUAAUAACAUUAACCAAACCCCUAAAACUAUCACUAAAACUCCCUAUAACCUUAACCAACCCUUAAAACUCACUAAAACUGACCAUAACCAAGCCUUACAACAUCACCAAAACUCCCCAUAACCUUAACCAACCCUUAAAACUCACUAAAACUGACCAUAACCAACCCUUACAACAUCACCAAAACUCCCCAUAACCUUAACCAACCCUUAAAACUCACUAAAACUGACCAUAACCAAGCCUUACAACAUCACCAAAACUCUCCAUAACCUUAACCAACCCUUAAAACUCACUAAAACUGACCAUAACCAACCCUUACAACAUCACCAAAACUCCCCAUAACCUUAACCAACCCUUAAAACUCACUAAAACUGACCAUAACCAAGCCUUACAACAUCACCAAAACUCUCCAUAACCUUAACCAACCCUUAAAGCGAUCUCUAAAACUCUCUCUAAUCUUAAGCAACCCGUAAAACGAUCACCAAAACUCUCCAUAACCUUGACCAACCAUUAAACUAUCACUUAAACCCUCUCUAGCCUAAACCAACCCUUAAAAACUAGCUGUAAAAAUAUCCUUAACUUUAACCAACCUAUAAAACUAACACCAAAUCUCUCUAAUCUUAACCAUCCCUUAAAACUAGCCCUAAAACUCGUUCUAACCUUAACCAAGCCUUAAAACUAACACUAAAACUCUCUUUGACCAUAACCAACCCUUACAACAUCACCAGAUUUCUCCAUAACAUUUACCAACCCGUAAAACGAUCACUAAAACUCUUCAUAACCUUGACCAACCCUUAAAACUGCUCCUAAAACUCUCCACAGCCUUGACCAGCCCUUAAAACUAACACUAAAACUCUCUCUAACCAUAACCAACCCUUACAACAUCACCAAAACUCUCCAUAACCUUAACCAACCUUAAAACUAACACUAAAACUCUCUCUAACCAUAAGCAACCUCUAAAACUAUCUCUUAAACUCUCUAACCUUAUCCAACCCUUACAACUAUCACUAAAACUCCACAUAACCUUAACCAACCCUUAACCAAUCACUAAAACCCUCUCUAGCCUUAACCAACCCUUAAAACUAGCUGUAAACUUCUCCUUAACUUUAACCAACCUUUUAAACUAACUCUAAAUCUCUCUAACCUUAACCAGACCUUAAAACCUGCCCUAAACUUCUCCUUCACUUUAACCAACCCUUAAAUUAUCAUUAAAACUCUCCCUAACUUUAUCCAACCCUUAAUGCUAACACUAAUUCUGUCUAACCAUAACCAACCAUUAAAACUAGCUGUAAACUUAUCCUUAACUUUAACCAACCUUUAUAACUAACAUUAAAUCUCUCAAACGUUAACCAACCCUUAAAACUUGCCCUAAACUUCUCCUUAAAUUUAACCAACCCUUAAAUUAUCAUUAAAAAUUCUCCCUAACUUUAUCCAACCCUUAAUGCUAACACUAAUUCUGUCUAACCAUAACCCACCCCUUAAAACUAGCCUUAAAACUGUUCUAUUCAAGUUGGAAAAAAUAAACAAACCAAAAUAAAGGUCCCGCCCCCUACUCAAUAUUCAAUUUCAGUUAGAAGUAUAUAAGCAUACAAAAGUACAAGUCCCGCCCCCUGCCUAAUAUUCUGCUAUUUGUAACUUUUUGAUUUAGUGGCUUAGUCGAAUUCAAACGAUCUCAUUCGAACAAUUGAGUAGGAUUUGCUCAUCCCCAAUGAGGGUGGGGUUGGGUGCCACGCCUCUUUUUAAAAAUCUUACAUUUUCAUACAAAUUCACCACAAAACGUAAAAUUCUCACAUUUCCUCGUGAGAUCAGGCUGGAUAUUUCAAUAUUGGGUUACAACAUCCCAUCAUUUUAAUAAAAGUAAACAAACAUUCAUUUAAAUCAGAUUUUUUUGGUAUUUUUAAUUGUUUUUUCCCAUGAUUCUUUGUGUCCUGAAGUGGACUUUGCUUUACUUCCUGCACUUUGAUAAUUGUGUUGUGAAACAGCCUCAAACAGACGGAGAGCGAAGUCAGUGUAUCUGCAUGAACAGGUGUUUGCUUCAGAGAUCUGCUGUGCCUGCAUGGAGCCAGGAACACUGUCAUAUUGUGGAACUGCGUUAUUUUCCAAUGUUUACAUUACUCGCACUGAUUUAUUGGUUAUUGGGAUUUUUUAAUCACUGUUUGGUUUUACUCUGAGGCAUUAUGUAAUGAGGCUGUUCUUGUUCUCUUGGUUCAAUAUUUCUUUUGUCUGGCAGAGAUUUCUCAAGACUGCUGAAGCAUGAUUGCUGGAAGUGUCCAGUUCAAAUAAACGUGCUGCUAGUAAUG
rnacentral:lncRNA from 1 species